rnacentral:rRNA from 1 species
GAUGAACGCUGGCGGCGUGCCUAAUACAUGCAAGUCGAGCGAACAGACGAGGAGCUUGCUCCUCUGACGUUAGCGGCGGACGGGUGAGUAACACGUGGAUAACCUACCUAUAAGACUGGGAUAACUUCGGGAAACCGGAGCUAAUACCGGAUAAUAUAUUGAACCGCAUGGUUCAAUAGUGAAAGACGGUUUUGCUGUCACUUAUAGAUGGAUCCGCGCCGCAUUAGCUAGUUGGUAAGGUAACGGCUUACCAAGGCAACGAUGCGUAGCCGACCUGAGAGGGUGAUCGGCCACACUGGAACUGAGACACGGUCCAGACUGCUACGGGAGGCAGCAGUAGGGAAUCUUCCGCAAUGGGCGAAAGCCUGACGGGGCAACGCCGCGUGAGUGAUGAAGGUCUUCGGAUCGUAAAACUCUGUUAUUAGGGAAGAACAAAUGUGUAAGUAACUAUGCACGUCUUGACGGUACCUAAUCAGAAAGCCACGGCUAACUACGUG